UACGGAGGAUCCAAGCGUUAUCCGGAUUUAUUGGGUUUAAAGGGUGCGUAGGCGGCCUAUUAAGUCAGGGGUGAAAGACGGUAGCUUAACUAUCGCAGUGCCUUUGAUACUGAUGGGCUUGAAUGAACUAGAGGUAGGCGGAAUGUGACAAGUAGCGGUGAAAUGCAUAGAUAUGUCACAGAACACCAAUUGCGAAGGCAGCUUACUAAGCUAUGAUUGACGCUGAGGCACGAAAGCGUGGGGAUCAAACAGG
rnacentral:rRNA from 1 species